rnacentral:tRNA from 1 species
UGGACUGUGGUGUAAUGGUUGCACAAGGCACUCUGGAUGCUUUGGUUUGGGUUCGAAUCCUAGCAGUCCAA